CAGGAGCUGGAUUAGUCCUUACCUACUUGCAGUCCUCAUCUGUGUUUAGAUGAGACAGUGAUUAAAAUUUUCUCAGACAUGUCUGUACAGGAGGACAGCUGAAAAUUUAAGACCAAUUUCCUAAAAUUCAUUGACAGCUAGGAGAAGUGGCUGGCAUACCAGAAGGCUGUGCUGCAUUUCAGCAAGACCUGGACAGGCUGGAGAAUUAGGUGGAGAGGAAUGUGAUGAGAUUCAACAAGGGCAAGUGUAGUGUCCUUCACCUGGGAACAAAUAACUGCACACAUCAGCACAGGUCAGGGGCUGACCUGGUGGAAAGGAGCUCUGCAGAGAAGGACCUGGGUGUGUUGGUGGACAACAGGAUGACCAUGAGCUAGCAGUGGCCAAGAUGUCACAUUUUCUUACCUGGAGGACGGAACCACUGAAGUUGCUGGUGAAGUGACCAUCAAUGAAAGUAGAGGCAGGAGGAGCAAAUAUAAACAUGAUGUACAAACUGAAGAAACCUGGUCAUCAGCUGGCAAUUUCAGCUCAAAGGAACAUCUGAUUCCUAAAGUUACAGAACUUGUCUGAAAGAUUUGUUUGAAAAAGAGAAUGAACUACUCAAUGUCCCAGGUACCUGGGGGAUCCAAAACAUGGAGUGCAGCUCCCCAGGGAGCCCACAUGGAGCACUGGAAGAAUCAGUAACCUGAGGAGAGAAACUCACUGCACACAAUGAAUGAUAACCUAUACUCAACAGUGUGAAAGAGCAAGAGAAAAGAUGGGGUUCAAAGCGCAACUCUACAAGAAGGGCAAGCUUCCAGCCUGAUAUGGCAGCAAGACAUCUCUCACUCAGGAUCUGCAAAAGCAACCUUCCCUGGUGUCAGGAUAUGAACAACCUUUCCUCAGCAUACCCAGGGGCUACCCUGCUCUCCUCAGCCUUGCAUGCUUCUAGGUGUAGCCAAAACUCUGCUUUGUAUAAACAGUAUACGUCAUUCAGUGUGUAACGGCACUUGUGCUUUAGGGUAGUAUCUUGCCUAGCCUCCAUCUGAAGGUAUGAACCUCCUCUGUUCCUGUGCCACAUGUCCCACCCAAAUUGUAGAAACAGCAAGUUACUUGGGAUAGAAAUAUACAUGUGUUCAAGCAACUACGCAGAAUCAGUAGAUAGUUGAAAACAGUAGCAGUAGUCUCUUUUUGCCUCAACUCCCCAUCUUCAGAACGGUGGUUAAAAUGCAUUAAUUAAUUCUUGAGAACCAUGGAUACACAGCAGUAAAAGCCCUGCAGGAUCCCAAAGAAAGGUACAAGUAGAAUCAUAGAGUCACAGAAUUGCUCAGGUUGGAAAAGACCUUAAAGAUCAUUGAGUCCAACCACAACCGAACCAUACAACGCUAACUCUAACAACCCUCCACUAAAUCAUGUCCCUGAGCACCACAUCCAAACGGUUUUUAAACACAUCCAAGGAUGGUGACUCAACCACCUCCCUGGGGAGCCUAUUCCAGUGCUUAACAACCCUUUCUGUAAGGAAGUUUUUCCUGAUAUCCAACCUAAACCUACCCUGGUGCAACUUGAGGCCAUUUCUCCUCAUCCUGUCACCUAUGAGAUCAACUCCACUCUUGCUGUACGCACCUUUCAGAUACUGGAAGAGAGCAAUAAGGUCUCCCCUCAGCCUCCUCUUUCCCAGACUAAACAGCCCUAGUUCCCUCAGUCGUUCCCCAUAGGGCAUAUUCUCCAAGCCCUUCACAAGCCUUGUGGCCCUUGUUUGGACCUGCUGCAGCACCUCAGUGUCCUUUCUGUAUUGAAGUGCCCAAAACCGAACACAGUACUCAAGGUGAGGCCUCACCAAUGCCGAGUACAGGGGCAGGAUUUCUUUCCUAGUCCUGCUCACCACACUAUUCCUGAUACAAGCUAGGAUGCCAUUGGCCUUCUUGGCCACCUGGGCACACUGCUGGCUCAUAUUCAGCUGACUGUCCAUCAGUACACCAAGGCCCCUUUCUGUCAGGCAGAUUUCCAGCUACUCACUCCCAAGCCUGUAGGGUUGCCUGGGAUUGUUGUGACCAAAAUGCAGGACCCAACACGUGGCCCUUUUGAAACUCAUACAGUUCACCUUGGCCCAUCAAUCCAGUCUAUCCAGGUCUCUUUGUAGUGCCUUUCUCCCCUCUGGCAGAUCAACACUCCCUCCCAACCUGAUGUCAUCUGCAAACUUACUGAGGGUGCACUCAAUCUCCUCAUCAAGAUCAUUAAUAAAGAUGUUAAAUAGAAGCGGCCGCAGUAAAUUCUGCAUCUAUUCUAAAUGUUAUAUAAUAUAUGUUAAAUAAUAACUUGAUCUGCACGUUGAGUGGAGGCUGAAAGGGAUCCCUGAAAAGCAGCUCACUCACUGAAAAAGGCAGGAUUCUGAGAGAAGAGGAAGGUGUGAUCAUCUAACUAAGAAACGUAUAAUUAUCUCUACACAAAGGGGGGCUGAACUUCAAGCUUAAAAGUAAUCUCAGUUCUAGUAUUUCUUAACUUUUCCUUGCAUAAUUUUGCAGCUUCAGUGUCUUUUGCAAAAUGUGUUUCAGUUCCCUCCUGAGAGUAAGACCUGAACAUACUGGGGGGUAGCACUUUUGUCCCACACAGCCACUCCAACUACAAUGUGUGGGAAGCAGAGCCUGGUUCUCCAGUGCUUCAGCUCAGAAACCUUCCACU
ensembl:lncRNA